CCAAUCCUACGGGAGGCAGCAGUGGGGAAUAUUGCACAAUGGGGGAAACCCUGAUGCAGCAACGCCGCGUGAGUGAAGAAGUAUUUCGGUAUGUAAAGCUCUAUCAGCAGGGAAGAAGAAAGACGGUACCUGACUAAGAAGCCCCGGCUAACUAUGUGCCAGCAGCCGCGGUAAUACGUAGGGGGCAAGCGUUAUCCGGAUUUACUGGGCGUAAAGGGGGCGCAGACGGCAAUGCAAGCCAGGAGUGAAAGCCCGGGGCCCAACCCCGGGACUGCUCUUGGAACUGCAUGGCUGGAGUACAGGAG
rnacentral:rRNA from 1 species